rnacentral:rRNA from 1 species
AUUGAACGCUGGCGGCAUGCUUUACACAUGCAAGUCGAACGGGUGUAGCAAUACACUAGUGGCGAACGGGUGAGUAAUGCAUCGGAACGUACCGUGUAGUGGGGGAUAACCCGGCGAAAGUCGGAUUAAUACCGCAUGAGAUCUACGGAUGAACGAAGGGGAUAGCAAGACCUUGCGCUAGAUGAGCGGGCGAUGUCGGAUUAGCUAGUUGGUGGGGUAAAGGCCUACCAAGGCAACGAUCCGUAGCGGGUCUGAGAGGAUGAUCCGCCACACUGGGACUGAGACACGGCCCAGACUCCUACGGGAGGCAGCAGUGGGGAAUUUUGGACAAUGGGCGCAAGCCUGAUCCAGCCAUGCCGCGUGAGUGAAGAAGGCCUUCGGGUUGUAAAGCUCUUUUGUCCGGGAGCAAACCUCUGAACCUAAUACGUUUAGAGCUGAGAGUACCGGAAGAAUAAGCACCGGCUAACUACGUGCCAGCAGCAGCCGCCG